ACCAGUCUCUAUCAGAGGGACAGUGCUGCUGUCAGCCUGAAUGAAGAGGUUUAUCCUGACAUCAACGUCAUCACAGGUCAGUCCCCUGUCCCCCUACACCAGUCUCUAUCAGAGGGACAGUGCUGCUGUCAGCCUGAAUGAAGAGGUUUAUCCUGACAUCAACGUCAUCACAGGUCAGUCCCCUAUCCCCCUAAACCAGUCUCUAUCAGCAUCAACGUCAUCACAGGUCAGUCCCCUAUCCCCUAAACCAGUCUCUAUCAGCAUCAACGUCAUCACAGGUCAGUCCCCUAUCCCCCUACACCAGUCUCUAUCAGCAUCAACGUCAUCACAGGUCAGUCCCCUGUCCCCCUACACCAGUCUCUAUCAGCAUCAACGUCAUCACAGGUCAGUCCCCUAUCCCCCUAAACCAGUCUCUAUCAGCAUCAACGUCAUCACAGGUCAGUCCCCUGUCCC
ensembl:lncRNA